rnacentral:rRNA from 1 species
CCUACGGGCGGCUGCAGUGGGGAAUCUUGCGCAAUGGGCGAAAGCCUGACGCAGCGACGCCGCGUGGGUGACGAAGGCCUUCGGGUCGUAAAACCCUGUUGCAGGGGACGAAGGAAGUGACGGUACCCUGCCAGAAAGCCCCGGCUAACUACGUGCCAGCAGCCGCGGUAAAACGUAGGGGGCGAGCGUUGUCCGGAAUUACUGGGCGUAAAGGGCUCGUAGGCGGUAACUCAAGUCAGUUGUGAAAACCGACGGCUUAACCGGAGGAUUGCAGUUGAUACUGGGUUACUUGAGGCAAGGAGAGGAAGGUGGAAUUCCCGGUGUAGCGGUGAUAUGCGUAGAUAUCGGGAGGAACCCCAGUGGCGAAGGCGGCCUUCUGGUCUUGACCUGACGCUGAGGAGCGAAAGCCAGGGUAGCGAACGGGCUUAGAUACCCCGGUAGUC